UACGUAGGGCGCGAGCGUUGUCCGGAAUCAUUGGGCGUAAAGAGCUCGUAGGCGGCCUGUUGCGUCUGCUGUGAAAUCCCGGGGCUUAACCCCGGGCGUGCAGUGGAUACGGGCUGGCUGGAGGCAGGCAGGGGAGAAUGGAAUUCCCGGUGUAGCGGUGAAAUGCGCAGAUAUCGGGAGGAACACCGGUGGCGAAGGCGGUUCUCUGGGCCUGUGCUGACGCUGAGGAGCGAAAGCGUGGGGAGCGAACAGG
rnacentral:rRNA from 1 species